rnacentral:rRNA from 1 species
UACGUAGGGUGCGAGCGUUGUCCGGAAUUAUUGGGCGUAAAGAGCUCGUAGGCGGUGUGUCACGUCGGCCGUGAAAACCUGCAGCUUAACUGUGGGCGUGCGGUCGAUACGGGCAUCACUGGAGUUCGGCAGGGGAGACUGGAAUUCCUGGUGUAGCGGUGAAAUGCGUAGAUAUCUGGAGGAACACCGGUGGCGAAGGCGGCGUUCUGGACUGCAACUGACACUGAUGAACGAAAGCCAGGGGAGCAAACGGG